UUCGCCCUCCCCUCCGGGACACCCGGGAGCCGAGCCGUCGGGAAAGCCCACAGCUAGGGAGAAGGGACCGGACGGGCAGCACCUGCUACCUAGCGAGCCUUCGCUCCCCUCUGAUUUAAAUGGAUGUGUUUCACGUCACGGAGAAAAAGCAGUUCUGGGAUCAAUGAUAGAGCUGGAAGCAGGAGAUAACAUUUUCAAACAUCGGGCCAGGUCUCCGCAACACUCACGCGCGCGCACGCACACACACACACACACACACACACACACACACACAUGCAGAAGGGAGUGCGAACUGUGCUCAGUGAGUCCUGGGCAACAGGAUGGCGUCUGAUGCUGGCAGUGAGGCAGGACAUCUCUACAUUGCUCCGUUGCCCGGGCUCGGCUUGAACUUGUGAUCCAAGAAUGGUACGAUUACAGGGUGAACUAUGGGAAGUAUUCUCUGUCCAGAGGUAUAGGUCAGAGAAGAGGCAGCCACAAUACUGUAUGAUACACAAUACCUUCCCACAGAGACCCAGGUGGCGUUGGAACAAGGAUGCUUGGCACAGACAGGAGCGCUGACCCUUCCUCCCCCGCCCCAGCAUCCUUCACCAAGCUGGGGCUUCUAUGGCCUCUUCUCCUGGGCCCCAGCUCCUCUUCCCAGCUGUGCACUCCCACACCCAGGGCUGAGCACAGAGCUGGCACAUCCUGGAAGCUCCUUGAUGUGAACUGAAUUCACCUAGUCUUCCGGGUACUGAUCGAUUCCUGUGUCUUCUCGGAAGCAGUGGGUGUCCCCGAACUGGUGACUCCUCCAGGAUGGGAGAAGCCAGGAGGACUCCAAAGAGAAACAGGGAAGAAGGA